rnacentral:rRNA from 1 species
AGUGAACGCUGGCGGUAGGCCUAACACAUGCAAGUCGAACGGCAGCACCGUAAGAGCUUGCUCUUACGUGUGGCGAGUGGCGGACGGGUGAGGAAUACUUCGGACUCUACUUUUUCGUUGGGGCUAACGUAGGGAAACUUACGCUAAUACCGCAUACGUCCUCCUGGUGAAAGCAGGGGAUCUUCGGACCUUGCGCGAUUGAGUGAGCCGAUGUCGGAUUAGCUAGUUGGCGGGGUAAAGGCCCACCAAGGCGACGAUCCGUCGCUGGUCUGACAGGGAGAAUAAGCAGACUGGAACAGAGGCAGGGUACAGACACCGACGGGAGGAAGCAGUGGGGAAUAUUGGGGAAUGGGGGAAAGCCUGAUCCAGCCAAACGGCGGGAGGGAAGAAGGAGUUAGGGUUGGAGAGCGAUUAUGUUGGGAGAAAAAAAAAGUAGUUUAAGACGGGGCUGUACUGACGGUACCCAAAGAAGAAGCACCGGCUAACUUCGUG